AAACAAAGAAAAGCCGUGUUCUUUGCGAAAGGUUUCUUAUUUCCGUUUUUGGGUCAUUCUUUGCAAAAGGUUUCUUAUUUCCGUUUUUGGGUCAUACUCAUACGUACUGUUCUUUGCAAAGAGCUUCAACUGCUCAGUUUUGGUGAUUUUGCACAGCAAGCAAGCGCUAAUCCAAUAAUGGCUGAUAUGCAAUUCUUCUACCUCACAUGACCAUCAUCUUCCUGCUCUGUCCCAAUCCCAAGCAAAUUGGCAUCCACAACUUCAUCUAUCAUUGCAUCUGGUAAUAGUGAGUUUGCAAUCCAUUGCUUUAAAUUCAUUUCCCCAACAAACAUCUCAUCUCUGGCUUCCUUCUUGUGAAUGUUUCCAUCACUACAAUUCCAAAACUGUACACAUCCCCUCUUGUUGAAACCAUUCCUUCCAAUCCAUACUCUGCAUUACGAAAAAUCGGCCUAGGCGGCCUGGGCGGGUGGCACUAGGCCGGUCUGGGCGGUGCUAGGAGGGUCUAGGCGGCGCUAGGCGGAUCUGGGUGCCAGGCUCAUGUUUAGCAAGUUUGAAUUUGAUGGGAAACUGAAUCCUACUUUUGUGGAACAGGCGUUUAAGCUCCCAUUAUCAAGCAUACGAGCAUAUCUAAAAGAGCCUAUUGCUCCCAGGUUCGUACACUUAGGUUCUGCAGGAGUUACCCUAGACCUGACAGGCCUGGACUUGAUCUAAGUAAACAACCUCCUGCUGUUCGCUUAAACAAGGAAUUGGAUUUUAUACUGACAUUCAAGUCGAAGGUUUCAUACUAAUUCAAUGCAAGCUGUUUGAUAUUUUUAUAUAUAAUCAGUGUAUCAAAAUACCACUUCCUAGCUCUUUUCUUUUAUUUUUCUUUUUCUGGGUCAGAUUUAGCUCUUUCGAUUUUGUACAUUGAUAAGUUUUGGAGCAAGGGGGGGAUUUAGUACGGGAAAGUGGAGUACCAUAUACAAUUGUGAGGCCUUGUGCAUUAACUGAGGAGCCUGCCGGGCAGAUAUCCUCCCCGAACUGCACUUGUUAUGUCUACCAAGAAAUCAGGCUCUGUUAUGAUGUUGUUAAAAAGAUGAGACUUACAGGUAUGUAGGAAUUUCAUGACCCUGGUAGCCAUCAAAAAUUGCAAGUAGUUCUACCUCGUACUGACAACAUAGUCUUCCAUAAAAUGCCCGAGGUCUCCCUUUACCAAGUGGGAGCCAUGUGUUACACUUAGAUUAUAUGAGUCAUGUGUUCAGUAAGGUGCUUUGCUGCUUUAUAGGCAUUCUUUAGUUUUCUUAUGGAAUCUACAACUUGUUGAUUGGACAUAACCAUCCAUAUUCCAUGACUUGUUAACCCAAGAAACUCUAUAUCAUCAUCUAUCAUCUCCACCACCAAAUAAGGUUAUGAAGUUAUAUAUAUUUUGAACAUCUUGGCACCAAAUGCCCUAUGUUGUCUUACUAUCGCUUCUCUUCUCUAAUGAUUGUCUUUCUAUUCUAUUGUUCAAGCUAUGAUCAACAGAUAAUUGUUUAGCCAUUCCAUUCUUGCAACAGAUAACGGCCCGAGAGUUCCCAACAUUAGCUACUACCAACUUCCGCUGGCCACGACGGUUCACUACUAUUUGCUGUAACUGCAGUUGAAGAUGAUAAAUCCUUAAAACCAUGGUUUGAAUUUGAUUGCUCUAGAAUGAAGGUAUCGGUUAUAAGAUAUGCUCCAAUCACUGCGCUUGUCAUGCUGAAGAAGAAAUCAGGCACUGUCAUGAUAUUAUUAAAUAGAUGAGAUUGCAAGUAUGCAGGAAUUUCAUGGCACUCAUAGCCGUCAAAUAUGGCAAAUAAUCCUAUCUCUUGCUCACCAAUCUUCCUAGUCUCUGCAACAACAUAGUCUUCCAUAGGAUGUUUGUGUUCUCCCUUUAUCAAGUGGAAGCCAUAUGAUACAGUUAUAUGAUCUAUGUCAUUUGAUAUUUUACUCUUUUCUGACCGGAACAUCUGACGAUGGACUUUUACUUAAUCCAACUCGAUUUCUUGAGUUGGUGCCGGAUCCCAUCUUUUUCUUUACCAAGUGGAGAAUUUCACUGCCAACUUUCAUGAAUGUUGUAAUAGCAGUUCUACUUUUAAUAUCUUCACUAGAAUUAGAAGCAAAUGAAGGGAAAAUUCGGUGAGGGUGUGGAGAGAAAUAAAGAGGGUUAUAACU